rnacentral:rRNA from 1 species
UGAAUACGAGACGCUAAGGCGUCGAAGUAGUGUAUGUCAUGCUUACAAGAAAAGCUUGCACUGUCAUAGAUAAAAAACGCCUGUACCAUAACCGACACAGGUGGGUAGGUAGAGUAUACUAAGGGGCGCGAGAUAACUCUCUCUAAGGAACUCGGCAAAAUAACUCCGUAACUUCGGGAGAAGGAGUGCCUUAUUCGUAAGGUUGCAAUAACAAGAUCCAAGCAACUGUUUAUCAAAAACACAGGUCUCCGCUAAGUCGUAAGACGAUGUAUGGGGGCUGACGCCUGCCCAGUGCCAGAAGGUUAAAGAAGUCGGUUAGCAAUUGCGAAGCUGGUAACUGAAGCCCUGGUGAACGGCGGCCGUAACUAUAACGGUCCUAAGGUAGCGAAAUUCCUUGUCGGGUAAGUUCCGACCCGCACGAAAGGCGUAAUGAUUUGGAUACUGCCUCGGAGAGGGGCUCGGUGAAAUAGACUUGUCUGUGAAGAUGCGGACUACCUGCACCAGGACAGAAAGACCCUAUGAAGCUUUACUGUAACUUGAAAUUGAAAUUGGACUUUAUUCGCGCAGUAUAGGUGGGAGGCGUUGAUUAUAAUCUCGCGGGAUUAUUGGAGCCAUCAGUGAGAUACCACCCUUGUAAUGUUAGAUUUCUAACUUUGAAUCAUUAUCUGGUCAAAGAACAGUUUCAGGCGGGCAGUUUGACUGGGGCGAUCGCCUCCUAAACGGUAACGGAGGCGUACAAAGGUUUCCUCUGAACGGUUAGAAAUCGUAUCUAGAGUGUAAAGGCAUAAGGAAGCUUGACUGUGAGACCUACAAGUCGAGCAGGGACGAAAGUCGGUCUUAGUGAUCUGACGGUACUGAGUGGAAAGGCCGUCACUCAACGGAUAAAAGUUACUCUAAGGAUAACAGGCUGAUUUCCCCCAAGAGUUCACAUCGACGGGGAGGUUUGGCACCUCGAUGUCGGCUCAUCGCAUCCUGGGGCGGUAGUACGUCCCAAGGGUUGGGCUGUUCGCCCAUGAAAGCGGUACGCGAGCUGGGUUCAGAACGUCGUGAGACAGUUCGGUCCAUAUCCGGUGUAGGCGUUGGAAUAUUGAGAGGAGCCUUCUUUAGACGAGAGGACCGAGAAGGACAUACCUCUGGUGUACCAGUUAUCGUGCCAACGGUAAACGCUGGGUAGCUAUGUAUGGAGUGGAUAACCGCUGAAAGCAUCUAAGUGGGAAGCCCACCUCAAGAUAAGUAUUCUCAUCACGUAAGUGAGUAAGGUCACGGUAAGACUAACCGUUUGAUAGGCAUUAAGUGUAAGUACAGUAAUGUAUGUGCUGAGAUGUCCUAAUAGACCGAGGACUU